rnacentral:rRNA from 1 species
AGAGUUUGAUCCUGGCUCAGAUUGAACGCUGGCGGCAGGCUUAACACAUGCAAGUCGAGCGGUAACAGAGAGAAGCUUGCUUCUCUGCUGACGAGCGGCGGACGGGUGAGUAAUGCCUAGGAAUCUGCCUAGUAGUGGGGGAUAACUUGCCGAAAGGUAAGCUAAUACCGCAUACGUCCUACGGGAGAAAGGAGGGGACCUUCGGGCCUUUCGCUAUUAGAUGAGCCUAGGUCGGAUUAGUUAGUUGGUGAGGUAAUGGCUCACCAAGACCGCGAUCCGUAACUGGUCUGAGAGGAUGAUCAGUCACACUGGAACUGAGACACGGUCCAGACUCCUACGGGAGGCAGCAGUGGGGAAUAUUGGACAAUGGGCGAAAGCCUGAUCCAGCCAUGCCGCGUGUGUGAAGAAGGUCUUAGGAUUGUAAAGCACUUUAAGUUGGGAGGAAGAGCAGUUAACUAAUAUUUGACUGUUUUGACGUUACCAACAGAAUAAGCACCGGCUAACUUCGUGCCAGCAGCCGCGGUAAUACGAAGGGUGCAAGCGUUAAUCGGAAUUACUGGGCGUAAAGCGCGCGUAGGUGGUUCAGUAAGUUAGGAGUGAAAGCCCCGGGCUUAACCUGGGAAUUGCUUCUAAACUGCUGAGCUAGAGUACGGUAGAGGGUGGUGGAAUUUCCUGUGUAGCGGUGAAAUGCGUAGAUUAGGAAGGAACAUCAGUGGCGAAGCGACCACCUGGACUGAUACUGACACUGAGUGCGAGAGCGUGGGGAGCAAA